rnacentral:misc_RNA from 1 species
GAAAAAAGUAAAAUGGCGGACAAGUAGUGCACUCUCAGCUCCUACACUAAUGGGUCAGAAUGGAGCUUUCUUCAGCUGGCAUGAAGUACAACUAAAUUGUCAGAAAAACUGCUUAUGAAAGGUCUGCUUCGAUGUACGAUUGUGAUGUAAUGCAAUAAUAGACUUCAAUUUAUGCACAGUAGCUAGAACUACAAGCUUCCAAGCAAUGUGAAUCCAGAAAAGAAGAAAAAGAAAGAAAACUGACUCAAUGACUAGCAAGAAACUACAAAACUCAAGAUUUACCAAUAUUUCUUGUUGUUUACCAGAAGAGGUUGUAUCCUACAUCUUCAGAUUUCUCUCUCCAGUUGAUAUCCAGUCAGCAUCGUUAGUCUGCCAGUCAUGGGCAAAAGCUUCUGAAGACCCGUUGCUAUGGAAACAUACAGCUGUUAUAUUAUUCACAAAAAAUGAAAAUUUCUCCGAAGAUUUAUUGGAUAGUCUGAAGCGGCGAUGUAUUCAGCAUGUAUCUUUUCGGCACACGACAACAUCUUUGCAAGUUGUCCAAGUAUGUAAAAGGUUGUCAAGUAAUCUUAAGGGUUUGUCGCUAGAGGGCUGUCGUUGUGUUAGCGAAUCUUUGUUAGGGAUCAUACUGAAGAGUUGUAAAAAUUUAAAGCAAGUUAACUUAAGUAGGUGCCGACAACUUGAUGUCUCUAAGCAAUCCAAGUGGCUUGUCGCAAACUCUCUUAAAUAUAUAACCGUUCUGGAUCUCAGUUGUACAAAGGGCCUAUGUGACUGGACGAUUGGACAAAUACCUACGACUUUUCCUGGGUUGGAGAAGCUUGGUAUAUCAGGCUGUAAAGAGGUGUCCUUAAAGACAUGGAUGAUAUUAGGAAAAUCUUUGACUUGCUUGAAAAACCUCGACAUCAGUCGUUCAGAUAUAUCUGAUGAAACUUUGCUUAAAUUUGCCGAGCUACCAUCUUUGCAUUUAACCUCGAUUAAUUUAUCCGCUUGCAAACAAUUAACAGAUAACGGCAUUGUAUCAUUAGCAAAACACCAGAAAGAGCUGCAAUACCUGAAACUAACAUGUUUAGACAUAACGGACACUAGUGUCAUCGCAGUUGGGAAAUAUUUGAGUGAGUUGAAGUUUUUGGACUUGAACAGUUGUCGGCAGAUUACUGUUGCAGCGUUACCUCACUUGGAGCAGCUAACGAAGGGAUUAGUCUCACUUAAUUUGUACUCAUGUUAUCAACUGACAAACAAAAGACUGGAGAAGUUUUUCUUGAGCUCAAAGGACAACACAAGUAACACUAGUCCUCCAUUGACAAGCCUGACAUUAAAUGGUUGUAGCUUAACCACAGAUAGUGUGAUUAUUGCCUGCAGUAAAGUAUUUGGCAACCUACAAGAACUUGAUAUAAGCUCUUCUUUACAUGUUACCAAUGUUGGGAUACAAGCCAUUGCUUCCUCUUUAAUGGACUUACGAGUUUUAAAAUUAAGCUGGUGUGAUAAUGUAACUGAUCAUGGACUGCUAGGAACUGGUUGCCAAGGUAACAAUAAAUGUGUUGACGGCAACUUGAAUGGAACAGUUGGACAAGAGAAAGCGUUGGAACAGGAGGGCGUGUCUUCCAGUGGUCUCGGCCUACUCACUAAGCUGUGUUCCUUGGAUAUCAGUCACUGUACUAGAAUCACAGAUAAUGGACUGACUAGUAUCUAUCAACUCAAGAAUCUUAGGACAUUGAACAUAAAUAUGUGUAUUGAGAUUACUGACGUCUCCCUCCAAGGCAUCGCAAAGCACAUGUGUAGCCUUGAGUGCCUGUCGCUUAAUGGCUGCAACCUGGUAACCGAUGUCGGCAUGGUUGCUGUAGCUCAGAACCUACCACACCUAUCAUCUCUAGACAUAUCAAAAUGUGACCUUAUCACUGAUCUGAGUAUUCUGACCCUCGCGAAACGCAGUAAGAAUCUGACGCAUCUGGAUCUUAGUAUGUGUGCACAAGUCACAAGUCAUUCUAUUGAUGAGCUGGAAGCCAAUCUACCAAGACUAGUGUCUCUACAGUUGAGAUAUUCAGGUGCUAAUGUAUCUCAUAAAUAUUUAUUAGGAUAAAAUGUCAGUUGAUUGGCAGGUGUCUGUCAGACAAGUACAGUUGAGAUAUUCAGGUGUUAAUGUAUCUCAUAAAUAUUUGAUUGAUUGGCAGGUGUCUAUCAAACAAGUACAGUUGAGAUAUUCAGGUGUUAAUGUAUCAUGAAUAUUUGGUUGAUUGGCAGGUGUCCAUCAAACAAGUACAGUUAAGAUAUUCAGGUGUUAAUGUAUCUCAUAAAUAUUUGAUUGAUUGGCAGGUGUCUAUCAAACAAGUACAGUUGAGAUAUUCAGGUGUUAAUUAUCUCAUAAAUAUUUGGUUGACUGGCAGGUGUCUAUCAAACAAGUACAGUUGAGAUAUUCAGGUGUUAAUUAUCUCAUAAAUAUUUGGUUGAUUGGCAGGUGUCUAUCAAACAAGUACAGUUGAGAUAUUCAGGUGUUAAUUAUCUCAUAAAUAUUUGGUUGAUUGGCAGGUGUCUUUCAAACAACAAAGUCAUAUAAAGUAUUUUCAAGUGUUUAAAAAUGUUAUUUAUUUGUGAGUUUGAGACAUGAACAUUCAUGCCAAAUGGACAGGAACCCCAAGCAGUAUAAAUCAUGGAAAGAACCAAUUGGUCAUGUAUUAACAUGGAACAAUAUAAAAGUUUUAAAACAUUAUCAUUAUGCCUUUUCUAAUAAACUAAUAAAUUAACUAGAAGCUGAUAAUACUCCUAUUUCGAGUUCGCCUUUGCUCAGUCUUAGCCUCAAUUGUCUACGAUUCUUUUUCUUUUCUUUUAUUAUACGUGUUGAUUAAAGAUACGUGUUGAUUAAAAUGCCACUGGUUUUGGUUGCAUGGUUGAAUAUUUUAACAACUGAGGCUAAGGCGAAGCAAAGUAUACUUGAAACUGGAGUAUAAGGAGGGAGGGUGUCCAGCCCCCCUCCUUUCCUUCGACAUGCCACUACCCCACACUCCAUACUGUACCUAUAUACCCCUUGCACUGAGUCCCAAGAGGAAUUGUUCUGGGGGACAUAAAAAUGGGNUUUUUGUUGUUGUUUUUUUCAUGAGAAAAGAGGGCCUAUUGUUUUCCCCCCAGAACAAUUCCUCUAGGAAAUUUAUGCAAGGGGUCUAUACAGUCCCACAAUUCCAUUGGAAAUGCAUCCUAUUCUGUGCUUAAACUUGAUAAACUGUUUGAUAUUAAAUGAUUCAACGGCAUUGGCAACAUAUAAAGCGUUUUCACUCAGUCCCUUGAGAGUUAACUGACAAUAGAGAUGGCUGCCAUAUUGGUUUACCUAACAAAAGAAACUAAUGACAAACCAUGGCAGCGUGAGUUCAUGUGAAAACCCUCUAUAAAGUUUUAAAUGGAGUGUGUUUUCACACGGAGCCCAAGCUGGGUUAUUACCAAUGUUGUUAGAAGUGACGUAUUUGAUGCUGCUGCUGUUGUUGUUGCUGCUGCUGUUGUUGGUGCUGUUGUUACUGCUGUUGUUGCUGCUGCUAUUGUUGCUUUUGUUGUUACUGUUGACUUGUUUCUGCUGUAGUUGUUGCAGUGCUAUUGCUAUUGUUGCUGUUGUUAUUGCUAAUGUUGUUGCUGUUGUCUUGUUGCUGUUGUGGUUGUUGCUGAUGUAAAUGGUGCUGCUACUGUUGUUGUAGCUGUUGUUUGUGUUGAUCCUGUUGUUGUUUGCUGCUGCUAUUGCUCAAAACUGGACUUGGGCUCCCUGUGGUGUUGGAUAAACUAAAUGAUUAUGGACAUCAGUAAAUAAAAGCAAGGUAGGUAAUUAAAUACAAAAGUAAAAAUUUGUAAUCGAGAUUCUUAAUUAAUAAUAGUCCCUUUCACAACUCCCUGCGCCAUGUGAAUAAUUGUUCAAUGUGUCGAAAAACGUUCUAUCAUUCCAAGCUCAUCGUUAUCGCUUCGAAGCAAAGGCACGGCUAGCUUUCAAGAUGGCACCGGGAAUUUUGAAGAGGACUUCUCAACUUCAAUAGAAUAUACGUUUCGUCCCAUUCUAUCUAUUCCAUUCCAUUUUCCAUUAUUUCAUUCAAUUCCCUCAUUUUGCAUUCAAAUAUUUCUAUCCCUUUACUUCCCAUUCAAACCUUUUUAGUUUCCUUUUUCUAGAUUUGUUUCGUCCACUUAUAGAUAUUCCAAUUCAUGCAUAUUAUAGUUAAAUCCCAUUUUGUCUUUUCAUAUCCACUUCCAUUAUCCCUUCCUAUUAUUCUAAUCAGUUUCAUACCUAGUCCUAUCACAUCCCAUCCACUCAUAUUGCAUGCAUUACUAUACCACUAUCUUAUCUACUGCCCCAUAUCUUUUGGUUCUCAUUCAGUCUAGUCUUUUCCAAUUUCAUUCUACUCUGUCCCACUUCUCUCGUGUUUAUUCCUUUCCUUCGUUCCUUCGUACGUUCCUUCCUUCCUUCCUU